rnacentral:tRNA from 1 species
GCGCGUGUAGCUCAGUUGGCUAGAGCGUCUGCUUGCCAUGCAGAAGGUCGUGGGUUCAAAUCCCAUCACGCGCU